rnacentral:rRNA from 1 species
UACGUAGGGUGCAAGCGUUAAUCGGAAUUACUGGGCGUAAAGCGUACGCAGGCGGCUAUGUAAGACAGGUGUGAAAUCCCCGGGCCUAACCUGGGAACUGCAUUUGUGACUGCAUAGCUAGAGUCCGUCAGAGGGGGGUGGAAUUCCACGUGUAGCAGUGAAAUGCGUAGAGAUGUGGAGGAACACCUGCGGCGAAGGCGGGUUGCUGGGCCGACACUGACGCUGAGGCGCGAAAGCUAGGGGAGCGAACGGG